rnacentral:ncRNA from 1 species
AUACAGGCGAAGAUGGAGACAGUAUUUGUUAGGCGUAGUGAAGCGAUUUGGGGAUAGUGGGAGCCCAAACAUUCAAAUAACAAAGAACAUCACUCCUGAGCUGAAUAACUGAACGUUUAGUAAGUUAUUUCGGAGCGCACGACGUUAACGUGCUUUCAAGAGGUAGUACUUUUAUGUACUGCAACUAGGGUGGUACCGCGAGUCAAGCUUCUCGUCCCUUUU